UAUUCUAUACAGCCGCCGUAAAAAAAACUUAUUACCGUAAAACAAUAAGAAUGCGAAUGUAACGUUAAACAAAAAAAUUUGAUAUUCCACGGACUGGACGCUAUUGCAGGCGUGUAUUUAGCAAGAUACAAUAUACAGCUGGUAAUUUUUACCGUAAGUGACGGAGUUGAAAAAUACCGUAAAAAAUGUUUAUUUUUCUGUUUUUAAUUCUGCAAAGCUCAGUGAGAAAUGUAUAGGUUCUAUUGCUGCGAGUGCUUUUUUUUCCCGGCCAUUAACGGUUUUUUUGGAUCCGUUCGGUGCGCUGAGAAUGGGUCGUCUUUUAAGUGUACAUUUUGAU